rnacentral:tRNA from 1 species
GCCUGGCUGGCUCAGUCAGUAGAGCAUGUGAUUCUUGAUCUUGGGGUUGUGAGUUCAAGCCCCAUGUUCAGCA